GAGUUUGCUCUCCUAGGUGAACUGCCUACCACGGCUAACGAGCUCCACCUGCCCGGGUUUGUUUAGAGUUUGCUCUCCUAGGUGAACUGCCUCCCACGGCUAACGAGCUCCACCUGCCCGGGUUUGUUUAGAGUUUGCUCUCCUAGGUGAACUGCCUCCCACGGCUAACGAGCUCCACCUGCCCGGGUUUGUUUAGAGUUUGCUCUCCUAGGUGAAUUGCCUCCCACGGCUAACGAGCUCCACCUGCCCGGGUUUGUUUAGAGUUUGCUCUCCUAGGUGAACUGCCUCCCACGGCUAACGAGCUCCACCUGCCCGGUUUUGUAUAGAGUUUGCUCUCCUAGGUGAACUGC